UUUUUAUUAUUUCAUUUAUAAAAUUACAUUUUUACCGUUAACCUAAAAAACCCUUAAAUUUUAUUUUCUUCUUUCCCUUUUUUCUUUCACUUUUUCUCCCCAUCUCUCUCAUCUCACCAAGCGAUGCCUUCUCAUCCCGUCAGUUUCACCGAGGGUUUAAGCAGUGAUUAGGUACGAGCAAUAGUCUGAUUAGGAUUCUGCUGGAACUGCGCUCUCUAUUAAGAGCAGAAAAGCAUUCGAACUAAAGAGAUAGAAAGAAUAGUGUAGUGUUUAGUUCCUUUAUGCUUAGAAGACUUGAAAGAGCUUCGGAUUCUAGCGAUCCUCAAUUCAAAGUCGUAAGUCUUUCGCUUGACCGAGGGCUCGUUGGUCUUGCUUUCGAUUCCAGAGAUCGAGAUUCGAAUAGCAGUUGGGAAAGGGGAUUUGGGCUAGAUCGGAUUUCGGAUAGUCCAUUGCAAUUCAUAACGGCACACCCAAUUUCUCUUUCUUUUUUAUAUUUUUUCCUUUUAAUUUGAUUUUUUUUCCUUUCAUUGUGUUUUGUUCUUACUUGGUUUGUUUUAAUGGUGAUUCACAUGAUUCUGAGAUUAAGAAAAAGAAGAAUGAAUGUUAUACUGAUAUCGACAAGUGGGUAUUUUCUAUUUUCUCUUUUAAUUUUGGGUCUUUAUAUUUUUCUUCAAUUAGG
rnacentral:lncRNA from 1 species